UACAGAGGGUGCGAGCGUUAAUCGGAAUUACUGGGCGUAAAGCGCACGUAGUCGGCUUUGCAAGUCGGUUGUGAAAUCCCCGGGCUCAACCUGGGAACUGCGACCGAGACUGCAUUGCUAGAGUAUGGGAGAGGAAAGCGGAAUUUCUGGUGUAGCAGUGAAAUGCGUAGAUAUCAGAAGGAACAUCAGUGGCGAAGGCGGCUUUCUGGACCAAUACUGACGAUCAGGUGCGAAAGCGUGGGGAGCAAACAGG
rnacentral:rRNA from 1 species